rnacentral:rRNA from 1 species
AUGAAUCUUGCUCGAACGACAGUAGGAUGCAGUAAAAUUGAGAUCAACUCCGACAACAUUGAGGUCAUGGAAGCUCUUAAAGACGGAAAUUCUUCUUCGGUUGCUAGUGUAAUAUUUGACGAUUGUUAUUUCAUGUCAUUAGAUUUUAAUCAUAUUGUUUAUGAUCAUUGUAAUAGGGAAUCUAACCAGGUAGCUCAUGAAUUGGCGAGGUUAGCUAAAUUUUCUAUCUCUGGUUUUUGGAUGGAUGAUGCCCCUAGUGCGGUCAUUUUGUUGCUUGUAAAUGAUGCCACUAUUUUGGUGAUUGAGUAA